UUCUUAGCAUGUGUUUAAGGUUCUAGGUUCAGUUUUAAUAAUUGAUAGACGUAAAUUGAGUAAUUGAACCUAAGUUCGUUUCGAUUCGUGGUUAGGUGAAAAUGUGAAUUGACGAUCCGACCGUUAGAUCAUCACCAAACUUUGAUACGUUGUAAUACGUAAUAUUUGAGGAUUAUAGGAACUUACGGAUCGGGAAUCAGACUUACGGAUCUUUCGGAAUUGGAGUUGUAAGUUCAUAAAAUAGAAUGUUAACCGUCACUUGGUUUUCGAAAUUGACGGAGAUCCGACCGUUGGAUGGUAAUGAAAUUUUAGGAUGAUGUCCUAGAAGUAUAUUCUGGACCUCUGGAAGUUAUGGAUUUGAAAUCUGAGUUGCAGAUCUUCCGGAUCGAACUACGUAGUGACGUGUCUUAUAUAAGUUAUAUAUUCUAUCGAUAUGAAUUCUGAGGUUGGAUUUGAUUAUUGUUCUAGGCGCCGAUCGUCAUGACGCCUUGAUGUGUGGUGCUAUGGAGUUGUUGGGCAAACUCCAGGUGAGUGGGCAGUAUUUCUGUUUAUACCUAUAUACUAUUGAUAUUUUUCCCAGAAAUUGAGUUUAAACGAAAAUACGUUUUCAAAUGCCAUGCAUGCAUAGUAUGUGAUAUAUUAAUUGAUAAUUGAUGCAUAUAUAUAUGUGAAUUGGUGCUGUGGACGCACAGGUGAGUAUCAGGUGAGUUUUAUGUUAUUCAUGUGAAUCAUUGAUGAUGUAUAUUAUGUUGAUAGCUCAUAACCUGCAAUCAUGGUGUUAAUGCUUAUAUUAUUCACCCGCACCACACGCUCACCUUGGAUCCAAGUAGGUGCCUGUCGUACAGACCAUAAAGGGUUCCGACAUGUCGUACAGACCAUGAGAGGGUUCCGACAUACUAGUCGUACAGAUCACUAAAGGUGGUUCCGACUAGUAGGUGACUUUAGAUUAUGUGCACAGAUGAUUGAUGAGAGAAGCACUAGAGCGUAUUAUUACACCAUUCUUAUCGUACAGACUACUUCAGGUAGUUCCGAUUUAUGAGCAGAGUAGUGCCGUACAGGUCACCGAGGUGACUCCGGUUUGGAUUGGAUAUUGAGCUAUAGAAUUAACCGUACAGGACCAACUGCAGGGUGUCCGGUUGAUUCAUUAUUUCACCUAUUAUUUUGAUGCAUCAUUCAUUCUGUUUUUGACAGUUAUAGCAUGGCAUACUUUCUGGCUUUUGAGAAAAAUUGAUGAUUUGAGAUUUAUGGAAAGUUAUAUGCUAUUAUACUAUUUUCUGGGAAAGUAUACAGGUUUUACAGCAAGGGGUUAGAAAUGUUUUAAAUGAAAUGUUUUCGAAAAACUUUCUUUUACUGACCCACUCAAUUUUGUUUUGCGCCCCUUCAGGUUCUAGAUAGCAGAGCUUUGGUGGCCACGAGGAAUCCAGCGGUGUUCUGACAGAAUUCACAAAUGUAGGACUCACCCUCGGGUGUUUCAUCUUAGUAAUUGUAUUUUUGUUUAAGCUUAUGAAUUGUGUAAAUGGUUACGUCACUCUCACGUGACGGCCA
rnacentral:lncRNA from 1 species